CGCAAUUUGACAGUUUUUUUUGGGGGGGGGUUUCUAAAAGAUGUCUUUGGUGUUUUUGCGUGCUUCCUUGUAACGUGGUAAUCAUUUAAAAAAGGCACCAACUGGCGUUACACGGGGUGGGGGUCUGGCUAUGUAACGUUACUAGCUUCGACUGCUAGCAUACUAAGUUAGCUAGUAACACGUAACGUUAACUUGUAAGUUAACAUAGUUAGCAGAUUCUGAUAAAAGGUUUGCUGUUGACCGGAUUAAAUACGAAGCCAACUUAACGUUAAUUGUCCGAACCGUGAACCUCCCGGGACCAUUUAAACACCGGAAUAUAAAACAAGUUAUCUAUGCUAACGUUAGCUAAAGCAGCUACUUACUUGAAUAUGUGCUCUGAUGUCCAGAUCUUCAUGGUUUAACUAGUGGAUGCUGCUGGUGAUGUCGGGGAGCGGAGUAGCCAGAUCAGCAGUGGCGUCUUGGUACUGCUGGUACUCCGACACCAGGUCAUUGAGGUUGCCCUCUGCCUCAGUGAACUCCAUUUCAUCCAUACCUUCCCCUGUAUACCAGUGGAGAAAAGCCUUCCGUCUGAACAUCAGGGAGAACUGCUCACCCACACGGCGGAAUAUCUCCUGAAUGGCCGUGUUGUUGCCGAUGAAGGUGGAGGACAUUUUGAGGCCUCGGGGUGGGAUGUCACACACGGCAACCUUGACGUUAUGAGGGAUCCAGUCCACAAAGUAUGAGCUGUUUUUCUGCUGGAUUGCAAGCAUCUGUUCAUCUACCUCUUUGGUGGACAUCCGGCCACGGAAGAUGCCAGCAACCGUGAGGUAGCGCCCCCGCCUUGGGUCGCACGCCGUCAUCAUGUUGCGAGCAUCAAACAUCUGUUGAGUGAGUUCAGGCACCGUGAGGGCUCUAUACUGUUGGCUGCCGCGGGGCGUCAGGGGGGCAAAGCCUGGCAUGAAGAAGUGGAGGCGAGGGAAAGGCACCAUGUUGACAGCCAGCUUCCUCAGGUCGGCGUUGAGCUGUCCGGGGAAUCUCAGAGAGGUCGUGACCCCACUCAUGGUCAUGGAGACCAAGUGGUUGAGGUCCCCGUAAGUCGGUGUGGUCAGUUUCAGAGUGCGGAAACAGAUGUCGUAGAGGGCCUCGUUGUCGAUGCAGAAGGUCAUGUCUGUGUUCUCCAGGAGCUGGUGCACUGACAGGGUGGCGUUGUAGGGCUCCACCACUGUGUCGGAGACUUUAGGGGAGGGCACGACGCUGAAGGUGUUCAUGAUGCGGUCAGGGUACUCCUCUCGGAUCUUGUUGAUGAUGAGGGUUCCCAUGCCAGAGCCAGUGCCACCCCCCAGCGAGUGAACCAGCUGAAAACCCUGCAUGCAAUCACAGCUUUCACUCUCGUUCCUCACUCUGUCAAUAACCUGCUCCACCAGCUCCGCUCCCUCUGUGUAGUGGCCCUUCGCCCAGUUAUUCCCAGCGCCUGAGUUCCCUGUAACACCAAAAUAAAAGUGUAUAUGUUAAUCUAAUUAUGUCACUUGUCAAUGGAAUUGCCAAUAAAUAUUUCCACUAUU